rnacentral:lncRNA from 1 species
GACGCAGCCCACCCCUGAGGACCACCACCCUCCAUAAGGAACCAAUGGGAUCUGAUGGCAGCGGGCAGCCCUCAGCCCGGUGCGGGUUGGAUGCGGGGCCGGCACCGAUUCAUGAGGCGCCCGGCGGAUGGAGGGCGCUCGGAUGGAGGGUGCUCCGUUACCUUUAGUCACCUCCGGCUGCCGAGAUGCCAAUCCCCAUCGGUUCCUCAACAACCUGCAGCGGGGGAGCUGCUGCUGCUGCUGCUGCUACCACAAUCCAGUCAUAAAAAGCAGAGCUGGCCACGGUACCAGGAGGCACACGAAGAGCAGGGGAUCGUCGCCCAAGGAAAGAAAAAUCACACGCUGGAUACCGGAGGGUGUGUGGGGAUGGGGAGGCGGUCUCUCCCGCUCUCCCCGCCGCCAGCCCCCGGCCGCAGCCCCGCGGCUCUAUCUCCUCCAGGUGGGCAGCCUCAGGGCCGGGGGGUGGCCGCGGAGCCCGCACCUCCGCCCGGGCGAUCCGGAUGCGGCACGGUCAUCGCCUGCCUUGCUGCUGCUGCUGCUGCUGCUGCCGCUGCUGCCGCCGCCGGGGACAAGGAGCCGCUGCCGAAGAGACCACCAAAAAAAAGGAAGAAAAAAAGAAAAAAAAGGAGAGCAAUCUUCCACCAUCCCCCUUUUCUCUUCCUCCUCCAGCAGCACCAGCCGCUCUCCGCAUCCGCUCCCUGCCCCCGGCCCCUCACUCCGCCGGGGCUGGGGGACACAAAGGCUCCCGCUCUCAGGGGGGCGGCCGGCCCUCAGCUCCCCGGAGCCCCCCGGAGCCUUCCUCCUCCUCUUCCUCCUCCCGCUGCGGACACCGCCAGCCCCGGCUCGGGUGGGCUGGGCGGGCGCGAUGGGGGGGGAGAGGGGGCACGGCCGCCGGCAGCACGGCACGGCACGGCACGGCUCACACACGGGGAGGGGGCGGCCCGGCAGCGGCAGGCGGCGCGGCGCUGCUGCCCUGCCCGGCGGCGGCCGCACGGAGCCGGGCGGGCGGCGAGCCGAGGGGCGGGGGAGCGCCGAGGGCCCGGAUCUGGGUUGCGUGGACGCGGGCUCCACCUAGCAGCCGGCGCCGCGCCGCGCCGACCCCGGCCCCUUCCCUUUUCCUUUCCCCUUUUUCCGGCGCCCACCUGCACCCGUCCCCAUCGCCGCUCUCCGACACCCGCCGAGAGGAUCCCCCCCGCUGCCCCCAGCACAGCGGCCAAUGGCAGGCUGCCCACCGAACGAGGAAUCCCCCGCUGGAUUCCCCCACCUCUCCAUUGGAUGCUCUGCUCAUUGUAG